rnacentral:rRNA from 1 species
AGCAGCCGCGGUAAUUCCAGCUCCAAUAGCGUAUAUUAAAGUUGUUGCAGUUAAAAAGCUCGUAGUUGAAUUUCGGGGUCAGCAAGUUGGUCGUGCCACCGGUAUGCACUGGCUUUGCUGAUUCCUCCUUCUUGUAGAACCGUAAUGCCAUUAAGUUGGUGUUGCGGGGAAACAGGACUGUUACUUUGAAAAAAUUAGAGUGUUUAAAGCAGGCUAAGGCUUGAAUACAUUAGCAUGGAAUAAUGAAAUAGGACGACGAUCCUAUUUUGUUGGUUUCUAGGAUUGACGUAAUGAUUAAUAGGGAUAGUUGGGGGCAUUAGUAUUCAAUUGUCAGAGGUGAAAUUCUUGGAUUUAUUGAAGACUGACUACUGCGAAAGCAUUUGCCAAGGAUGUUUUCAUUAAUCAAGAACGAAAGUUAGGGGAUCGAAGACGAUCAGAUACCGUCGUAGUCUUAACCAUAAACUAUGCCGACUAGGGAUCGGAUGAUGUUAAUUUUUUAAUGACUCA